UGCCGACAAAUUCCCAUGAUCCAUUUGACAAUGUGUCCAAGAAAACAACGCAUGGGAAUAAGUGGUAGGGGUUUUAAGAGGAGUGCUCCAGAAGGACUCCUCCUUCUGGACACACAUUUAAUAUGGGAUGCCUCCUUUUAUUUGCCAUGGUAAUGUGGCAUGGAGGAGUUUAUUCCAGAUGAAACUUUUUCAAAUGGAUUGGUUAGCCAAACUAGGAAAUCAAAUAUUGGA
rnacentral:lncRNA from 1 species